rnacentral:rRNA from 1 species
CCUACGGGAGGCAGCAGUGGGGAAUUUUGGACAAUGGGCGAAAGCCUGAUCCAGCAAUGCCGCGUGAGUGAAGAAGGCCUUCGGGUUGUAAAGCUCUUUUGUCAGGGAAGAAACGGUGGGAGCUAAUAUCUCUUGCUAAUGACGGUACCUGAAGAAUAAGCACCGGCUAACUACGUGCCAGCAGCCGCGGUAAUACGUAGGGUGCAAGCGUUAAUCGGAAUUACUGGGCGUAAAGCGUGCGCAGGCGGUUUUGUAAGUCUGAUGUGAAAUCCCCGGGCUCAACCUGGGAAUUGCAUUGGAGACUGCAAGGCUAGAAUCUGGCAGAGGGGGGUAGAAUUCCACGUGUAGCAGUGAAAUGCGUAGAUAUGUGGAGGAACACCGAUGGCGAAGGCAGCCCCCUGGGUCAAGAUUGACGCUCAUGCACGAAAGCGUGGGGAGCAAACAGGAUUAGAUACCCUGGUAGUCCACGCCCUAAACGAUGUCUACUAGUUGUCGGGUCUUAAUUGACUUGGUAACGCAGCUAACGCGUGAAGUAGACCGCCUGGGGAGUACGGUCGCAAGAUUAAAACGUCAAAGGAAUUGACGGCGAGAGACGAGCGAGGACGACGACGAGGGAGGAGG